CCUGGCGUCGAGCCCCACGUGCAAGACCUGACCUGAACGUUUUGUUCGUUCGGCUCGCGUUAGGCAGGU
rnacentral:pre_miRNA from 12 species